CCUCUGGGACCCAACACAAAAUAUCUAAUAAUUAAUGAUAAUGAUACGAUCGAUUAUUUUAAUGACAGCGAACGGAAUAUUAAAUGCGCCCCAUGCAGCGCAUCGAAAGGGAGGGAGAAAGAGAGAGAGAGAGUAAGAUAGAAGGAAAAAUAAAAGAAAAGAAAGAGGUAGAGAUCGAGAAGAACGCCGGACUGAGCCGUCGUCGUCGUCGUCGUAGUUGUCUUCGUCUUCGUCGUCAUCGUCGUCGCAGAAUAUUUGCAGCAGUCUAAUUUGUACCGUAUACAAGUUGGCCGCGCACCCCCUCUGCGUCCCGAUGUCAACAACUUGCAACGUGUUUUGUUGUACUCAAAGUCAUCGUCAUCGUCAUCGUCCUCUCCUCUGCGCUGACACCAACAACAACAACAACAACAACAACGAACAAAAUGAAUAAUGAAAGAAAAAAGGACUGAAAAAUAUGAAGAACAAUAAAACUCUAAAGUUUUGCCCGCGCGUAACAAAGAACAUGAAAAAACCACAAAAAUGUCACGCGUGUACGAAUUUCAUCGGGAAAACACACACACGCGCACACACACACACACACACACACACACGCACGCAAACACAUACGGCGCGAACAACAAAAAACAAACAAGCUUGUGCUCGAAAGAGAAACGCCGAAAAUAUAUUUUCACCCAACGAAAAAAAAGGAGAAUAAACGAAAGAGUGGGGGGAGGUGAAUACCUCCUCCGAAAGUCCAGGGUGUUUUCACCGCGUUUUAUUUCGUUUCGAUCCUCUCACAUUUUCUCCUCGCUUUACCCUCGGCGUUCAUUUUACCACGACGACGCGCAUAUGACGGAGUAAACGCACGCGCACGCACACACACGCUCAUGCACUCGGACACAGGGACACGGAGAACGGGAAAGAGAAGGAGGGCGGGAGAAGUCUCCCACUACGUUUGAGAUGCGCGCGAGUCAUACAGCGAGAAAAGACGAUACGACCGAGGCUGCUGUUCGUGUGUGCCUCUGUGUAUGCCUGCGUGUGUGUGUGUGUGUGCGCGCGUAUGCAAGCGUGAGUACGCGAGUUGUAUGUUUGUCGGCUGUAACGCGACCGCUUUCCAAAGAUCUCUGGCAGUAAAGAAGCAAAAAAAUAAAUAGAAGAAGAAGGAAAGAAAGAUGCCCUGAACAUCUCGCGGAGCAUGAGCGAAGCAGUGAAAAAGCGCAAAGAUCGAUAAGCAUGUAACAAUAUUAUACCGUUAAAGUCGACAAUGAUAAUUAAACUCGUAUCGUAAUAUAAAGUUACGGCCUUUUUUUUACAAAUGUACGAAAGGGGAAGAGAAAUAUAGAGAGAGAGAGAGAGAGAGUAAAAGCGAGUGCGAGUGUGUUUUUGGAGACUCGAAUGUUGCUGCGCGUGGGAUCGAGACAAAAGCUAGCUCGGACGGGUGUGUGCGCGGAUGAACAAGUGGAAGAGUCGAGGACGCGAGGGACAAUGGCUCGAGGAGAACAAACAAAAGAGAAGAAAAUCGUAUUAUGCAAGUACGGGACGGUGAAAAUUCUGGCAGAAUGAGAGAGUGAAAGGAAGAGAGAGAGAGAAAACAAAACAAAAAACACACACACUCACACAAAAAAGAACGAACUGAAGAAAUAAGAAUUCAACUUGGCUGCAGCAUCCGGCAUGACGGAACGAAACGCGGUUGUUUUAGCUAUUUAACUGUUUUAUUAUUGCUACUGUAUAAGAUAGGCGAACGAUGUGUCAUAUUGCUGAGAUUUUUUAUCGAUGAUGAGGGCGCGAGAUGAGAGUAAUGAAAAGAAAGAACGAGAGCGAAGCAUAGUAGAGGAAAAAAGAUAAAAAGCGCGAGGGGGCGACCGAGAGAGAAGAACGAAACAAAGAGGAAAAAAUAGAUACGGGGCGAAAGAGGAGAACGAGCCGCGCCGCAACACGUGCACACCAUCCGACAUUUUUACACAAUCAAUAUAUACAUACAAAGAUGCGAGCGAGCGAAAGAAUCGUACAUGGCAGAGCGAGAGCGAGAAAAUUCUUGUAUCAAGCGAGUGAAAGAGAGAAUGAGAGCGUGCCUGCGUGUGUAUGUGCGUUUGCUAGGAAGAAAGCAAGGAAGAGAGAGAGAGAAACAAGGGAGAGCACGCGUGUGUCUGAGAGCGAGCACCGGGAAGAUUAGAGCCACUGUAUCAAAGAGAGAAAGAGGAGAGGGGAAGGAAACUACCGUUGGGAAAAUGACACAGAAAAAUCUCAAGUUGCACUGGGGGGGUUUUAUUGCCGAUGGCUUCAAAAUUCCGUGGGAGCGUUGCAAUUUUACAAAAAAAAAAUGAAAAAAAAAAAAAGAAAACACAAUGCUUUGAUGAAACAAAAAUGGAGAUGAGUGGCGCUAACUCCCUGUCGAAAUUUCCAUCCUCGAAACGGCUUUACCACACAAAAUACAACAACAUUCGAAUAAACAAAUGGCUCCGUAGAAAUUUCGCUCUCCGACGCUCGCGCGUCUCGCCUUUUCGCUACAGAACUAUUAUAACUUCUUGUACUACUACCGCUAUCGCUAACUACUACAAAGAAAAUGAAGGAAGGAAAAAAACGAAAAGGACAAAAAAAAUAACAACUACCUAACUAACUACCACCUUAACUAUUACUACCACCUUACCUAUUACUUACAUACUAUGAAAAACUGGGCGCUUGUUGCAUGGAAAAUAUAAAAAAUGAACAUUCGAGCUGACUAAUGAUGAAAGAGGCAUAAAAAGUAUUCGUGUGAUUAUUCGAUGUGCCAAGCGCGCCAGGGCGAACUACUGUGUAACGAUUUUUAUCGAUAAACCGAAAAAAAAAAAAAAAAAAACAAAAAAACAAAAAAAAAACAACACUGGAAAGAAUAAAAAUUGAAGUAACAAUUGUGUAACAAAAAGUGUGUCGUCUCGCCAAAAAUCGUCAUUUUAUUGGUUUCUUUUCAAGUCCCUUCGAAGAUGUCGCGGUCUAUGUCAUUUGCACGAAUAGUUAUAAAAGUAUCUUUGCCCGUUCAAAUAAUUGACGAAAGGAAGAAGAAUAAAAGAAAAGGCAAAAAGCGCGUGCGCGUGUCCCCGAGAUAAGGAGAGAGAAGAACGGUGGAGAAAGAGAGGUCGGAGUUUAACGAGCGACGAAUGCCACGGAAGAAGCGGAACAAGAGGACGCGAGAGAGGGAGAGAUUGCGCAAGAGAAACGAUAAAGAGAGCAACGGAUAUGAGGUGUAGCUUUGUAAAACGAUAUUUCCUCUUAAGAUUUUUUUUUUGCAUACAUCAAAAGUAAGAUUGUGUUAAGAGAGUAAUAAAUUUGUAUAAAGUGGUGUAAAAAACGGACGUGUUUUAUUUUCAUUAAUUUCGUCGAUUUGACUGCGAUUCGAUGUGGUUGGAAAAUGGCGAAUAUGUGAAUACAGAUACGGACUUACUGCAAUAACGUCGCUGUGAAAAAACGGAAACGGUCGACCCCGUCACCGCAGCUCUCCAUUUCCGGUCUCUGACAUCUCGGAAUUCCUGACGAGAGCGAGCGGAGAAAAAACCGAUAAGAACGACCUACUUCUUACCCCCCAACCCACGUAUUUGGCAUGAUUUCUCAUUUCGCCACGUCAUUCGACUUUCAUCCCUCAAAAAGCUGGUGAGUAAACCAAGAUAUGAAAAGGAACUUGGGCCGAAUCGAUCACAGAUUAUGGCGUGGUCACGCGCUUCUCGAGAUUGAGAGUAGAAAACGACUGAGUUUUUUCCCCUCGCGUACACUUGCCGCUCGAAAGGUGGUUUCUCGGGCGAUUAGGAAGAAUGUUGAAUUUCGUCGUUCCGAUUACAAAAACUGCGCGUUGGAAUAUUCGCGACACUGUGCUCACUGCAUACUCAGCCGUUUCGGUUGACCUUGAAACGGCCACGAUCCUUCAAAUUUCGUACAUCGCACGGUUUUUCAACACCGAGAUCGACCGUUAUCGAUUUCCAAGGUUGCAGCGAGAAGUUGUCACUUGGCUUUUUCCUUUUAUUUCCACCACCGGGCUUUAAUAUUCCAUGAGUUUUCACUUGACCUUGGAGAUUUUCUGCGUAAUUGCGCGCUCGAGCUCGAGCGGUCCUUUGUGGCGCAAGGUUCAGCAGUUGUAUAGAUACGUUGGAAUUGAAACGAGAAAAAGUGAAAAAAACGAUUCUCCAAAAUCUCAGCACAGCGGAAAAUAACCUCAAUACUCGAUUCUCACGACACCUGCGAAAAUGAUCAUUUUCACAUGGAAAAAAACCGUCGAAAAUUCAGAGCGAGUUUUUCAUGCCAGCGGAGAAGAAGAGAACGAUGAAGAAGAAUCGAUCACGAAAGUAUAGAAAACUGAGAUUUCUUCGUUGAAUUUGCACUCGAAAUUAUCCGUUCGUACUUCCCGUCAAUAUUCCCAUCGUGACGUAUAAGGACGCGAAUGGAAGAUACAAACAUCGAAUUAGAGGAUGGAAAACUUGGAGAACGAAUAGACGAGACAAAAUUUACAGCUACAAAGUAGCGAGCGGAGGAUUUAUGGUCAGCUCGUUCGAUUAUGGCAGUGAGAGAUGAAGAGCAAGAGGAAAGAAUCAGGGAGAGCGAAAGAGAGAUGAAUCAAACGGUCUUUCGGUCUUUCGGUCGGUCGGUCGAUCGGUCGAGGCCCAGCCGGCCGGCUGUACGAGCGAGAGGCCUCCUGGUCAACGGGGUGAGACGAAGGGAGGGAGAGAAGAGAGCGAGGGAGAGAUCGAAGACGGGAGGAGACAGAGAACUGUGGCACAGUAUACACGAUGCGAUUUUUUGUAGUAUCGCAUGAACAGCGAUCGUCCGUGUGAGAGAAAGAGCCGAAGAGAUAAAUAAAAAGAUAAGAGUUUCGGUGGGAAAGAGAGAGACGAGGAAAAGAUAGCGAAAAAAGGGACAAUCUCGAUCGCUCCUUUUAUAAAGUGGAACGGCGAAGUUUGUGCCGGAGGAUUCGCCGAAGAUCUACAGAUGGUAUCGAGACGAAUCGUCCUCGUAUCUGCAACUCUUUGCCAAGAAAAACUCAUCCAAUUGCUUUUUUUCCCUUCAUUCGUAUGUGUGUGUCUCUCUCUCUGUCUCUCUGCUUGUGUGCAGCAAUAAAUGGAGGCACGAACACACAUUUAUGGAAUAACAACGUGUAACGUGGACUCGGAGAGGCCUUGUCCCCCGAAGUCACGCAUUCAAGGUCGCCAACAUUCAGCCAGACAGCGAGUGAGCCUCGCGGCCUCGAUACGACCACUGGAAUAGAUGGAGCCACGAACUUGCGUACCCUUUUCCUCCGUUUCUUCUACAGCUCUAGAAUUAUACACAUUAUAUAUAUACACAUAUACAUAUGGACAGGAAUAAAUAUACGGAUGGAAUUUAAUCGAGACAUUGCGGGGGUUGAAACCGGAAAAUAUCCGUAACAAUCUCAUUUGCAUGAGACGAAAACGCCUCGAAGGUGAGAACUUGAAUUGCAAAUUAUGACCUAUCGCAUGCAGCUAUAACAACGAAAAUUUCAAUGUUUUCAGUACUUCUGUAUCUAAGAAGGUAUCAUUGAAACCUACAGCAUUAACGAACAUGGCUAGUCUAAUUGCACAUUGAAAGAUUAAUGAAAAUAUCAAGAGGGAAACAGAAUCCGGUCCAAUUUUUCAAUUGCAGGAAAAUGUUUUUCCGUGGUUAUUUAAAAAUUCGAUAUUUCAUGAUUCCGACGCGAGAAUACGACGUUGGAGAGAAUUUCGGCCGAGACUUCUUGAGGAAUUUUCAUAAGAAAAAAUUGUUUCCAAUAUUGCAAUAAAAAAAAAUGUCUCGCAACUGCUGUACGUUUGUCACGCUUCCUCGGCCGAAAACUUUCCACAACACACGUUUUCCACGUUCAACAUGUAUCUAAAAAAGACAAAAAUAAUAUUGAGUUUCUAGACAAAGCAAGACUUAUGAAAAAAUGAUGACAAGAUUGAUAGUAAAUGAUUAAAUACAAUAUGCAAUUAAGCUGAAGGAGUAUUCUGCGGCAUACGUACCGAGAAUCGAGCAUAAUCCGUCGAGAGAUUGCACAAACUACCUGGGGUUCGAACUAUGACUUUCGGAAUGCGAGUGUGCAAAAAGUGUUGGACAAAAAAACAGAAUGAAAGAAAAGGUUUGAAAAGUGAAGGAAACCAAAGUAAAUGGGAGUCAAAGAAACACGAAAAUCAUUAAGUGCGCGUACGCCGAAUGGUUCAAUCAUUUUUUUUUUCUGGUCUCGAACAGGCUGCUCGAGACGACGGAAAUGACGACUGCGACGAGAACGAGUGACGUUUUCCAGCUGCUCGCAAAAAAUUUCCAGUUUUCAAGGAAUUCGUAAGAGUUUAGAAAUUAUUGGUUUAAGGGACAACGAAAAAUUGGAAUAUAAAAUAAAAAUAAACGAACAAAAACAUAAACUCAAAA